GGUAAACAAAAAUGACACUUAAAAAUGGCAUCUUCGAUUCCGAAGAUUUAAAUUGUAUUCAGUUUUUUUGCAUAAAUAUUUGAUCAUCUCUAUUAGAGUAUUAGAGUUCCUUGUCCAAAAAACAAAAAAAAAUUGAAUAACAUAUAAGUGUUGUUGUAAUCUUCCUUUUUCAAACUAGUUUUUCAUAUGUGAAUUAUGUCCACACUAAUAUGGUAUAAGAGUCGAUGUUAAAAAAAAUCGAAAAUGAGUUAUCACCAAUGAAUAUCCAAUCUUACAA
rnacentral:lncRNA from 1 species